rnacentral:rRNA from 1 species
UACGUAGGGGGCAAGCGUUGUCCGGAUUUAUUGGGCGUAAAGAGCGUGUAGGCGGCCUGACAGGUCUGCUGUGAAAACUCGAGGCUCAACCUCGAGAUGUCGGCGGAAACCGUCUGGCUAGAGUCCGGAAGAGGAGAGUGGAAUUCCUGGUGUAGCGGUGAAAUGCGUAGAGAUCGGGAGGAACACCAGUGGCGAAGGCGGCCGGCUGGGGGUGCCCUGACGCUGAGGCGCGAAAGCGUGGGGAGCGAACCGG